UGUUAAUUCUAUUGAUCUGGUGCAGGAGAU
rnacentral:piRNA from 1 species